UCGGGAAUUUUGGGCAAUGGGGGAAACCCUGACCCAGCAACGCCGCGUGAAGGAUGAAGUAUUUCGGUAUGUAAACUUCGAAAGAAUAGGAAGAAUAAAUGACGGUACUAUUUAUAAGGUCCGGCUAACUACGUGCCAGCAGCCGCGGUAAUACGUAGGGACCAAGCGUUAUCCGGAAUUACUGGGCGUAAAGAGUUGUGUAGGUGGUGUACUAAGUUGGUAGUGAAAGCGUGCGGCUCAACCGCAUAUCCAUUGUCAAAACUGGUAGACUAGAGGGCGAGAGAGGUUAUUGGAAUUUCUAGUGUAGGAGUGAAAUCCGUAGAUAUUAGAAGGAACACCGAUGGCGUAGGCAGAUAACUGGCUCGCACCUGACACUCAGACACGAAAGCGUGGGGAGCGAACGGGAUUAGAUACCCCCGUAGUCCCUGAGCGGGCUGGCAAGGCGCAU
rnacentral:rRNA from 1 species